CGGAUUNUUGGGUUUAAGGGUGCGUAGGCGGGAUAAUAAGUCAGUGGUGAAAGCCCACAGCUCAACUGUGGAACUGCCAUUGAUACUGUUAUUCUUGAAUAUAGUUGAAGUGAAUGGAAUGUAACAUGUAGCGGUGAAAUGCAUAGAUAUGUUACAGAACACCGAUUGCGAAGGCAGUUCACUAAGCUAUUAUUGACGCUGAGGCACGAAAGCGUGGGGAGCGAACAGGAUUAGAUACCCUGGUAGUCCACGCCGUAAACUAUGAUUACUCGGUGUUGGCGAUAUACUGUCAGUGCCUAAGCGAAAGUGAUAAGUAAUCCACCUGGGGAGUACGAUCGCAAGGUUGAAACUCAAAGGAAUUGACGGGGGCCCGCACAAGCGGUGGAGCAUGUGGUUUAAUUCGAUGGUACGCGAGGAACCUUACCUGGGCUUAAAUGUACUCUGACGUUUUGGGAAACCAGAAUUUCUUCGGACAGAGUACAAGGUGCUGCAUGGUUGUCGUCAGCUCGUGCUGUGAGGUGUCGGGUUAAGUCCCAUAACGAGCGCAACCCCUAUUCUUAGUUGCCAGCGGAUAAUGCCGGGGACUCUAAGAAAACUGCCCGCGCAAGCGGAGAGGAAGGUGGGGAUGACGUCAAAUCAUCACGGCCCUUACGUCCAGGGCUACACACGUGCUACAAUGGUCAGUACAAAGGGCAGCUACCUAGUGAUAGGAUGCUAAUCUCUAAAACUGGCCUCAGUUCGGAUUGAAGUCUGCAACUCGACUUCAUGAAGCUGGAAUCGCUAGUAAUCGCGCAUCAGCCAUGGCGCGGUGAAUACGUUCCCGGGCCUUGUACACACCGCCCGUCAAGCCAUGGAAGCCGGGGGUACCUGAAGUCGGUAACCGUAAGGAGCUGCCUAGGGUAAAACUGGUAACUGGGGCUAANUCGUAACAAGGUAGCCAUCUUUCUAGAANAU
rnacentral:rRNA from 1 species